rnacentral:rRNA from 1 species
GAUGAACGCUGGCGGCGUGCCUAAUACAUGUAAGUCGAGCGAAGCGGGGACGGGUGAGUAACACGUGGAUAACCUCCUAUAAGACUGGGAUAACUUUGGGAAACCGGAGCUAAACCGGAUAAUUAUAGAUGACACCACGCUGCAUUAGCUAGUUGGUAAGGUAACGGCUUACCAAGGCAACGAUGCAUAGCCGACCUGAGAGGGUGAUCGGGCACAAUGGGACUGAUACACGGACCAGACUCCAACGGGAGGCAGCAGGAGGGAUUCUUCGGCAAUGGGCGAGAGCCUGACGGAGCAACGCAGCGUGAGUGAUGAAGGUUUUCGGAUCGUAAAACCCUUUUAUUAGGGAUGCGUUACCUACACAGAAAGCCACGGCUAACUACGUGCCAGCAGCCGCGGUAAUAC